rnacentral:lncRNA from 1 species
UUCUUUUCUCUCCAAUAUGACCAAGCCUACAAUGCCAAAGGUAUGUUUGAUUUACAUGAUUAUCUCUUUUCCUCUUAAGACUUGAAACAUGCAUAAUCGAAUUAGCAUUCACACUAGGUAAGACAUAAACAUCAUGUUGGAGAUAGCCAUUCACAUAUAAAUUAUCACUACAAUAAAUAGAGCAAAUACUAUUUCCUAUAU